rnacentral:rRNA from 1 species
CUACGGGCGGCUGCAGUGGGGAAUAUUGGACAAUGGGGGAAACCCUGAUCCAGCAAUGCCGCGUGUGUGAAGAAGGCCUGCGGGUUGUAAAGCACUUUCGGUUGGGAGGACUGCUUCUAGCACUAAUAUUGUUGGAAGUUGACGUUACCUUCAGAAGAAGCACCGGCUAACUCCGUGCCAGCAGCCGCGGUAAUACGGAGGGUGCAAGCGGUAAUCGGAAUUACUGGGCGUAAAGCGCGCGUAGGCGGCUAGAUCAGUCGGGUGUGAAAGCCCCGGGCUUAACCUGGGAACUGCAUCCGAUACUGUCUAGCCUGAGUACAGGAGAGGAGAGUGGAAUUCCACAUGUAGCGGUGAUAUGCGUAGAUAUGUGGAGGAACACCAAUGGCGAAGGCAGCUCUCUGGCCUGAUACUGACGCUGAGGUGCGAAAGCGUGGGGAGCAAACAGGAUUAGAUACCCCGGUAGUC